GCCAGCGUGGCGUAGUGGUUUGAGCAUUGGACUAGGACACUGGAGACCAGGGUUCGAAUCCCAGCUUGGCC